CAGAAUUUAACAUGAAAGUAAUAAUUUUUACCUCGUUUGUGUGUUCAAUUUUUGGGCCAAUUACAGCACCUCCGCCUUGUACAUCUCCACCAUGUGAUAGUACCCAUUUUUUAGCAGUGCCUCCAAGUCGAAGAACUGAAGAUGAAGACCAAUCGAAAGGGCCAAAACCACUAGCAGAACAGAAACCCGAGAUGUAUAGUGUUAUUGAAAAUUUACGGUUUAUACUAAAGUAUAACAAUCUUAUCAAUUACAUGACACUACAAGGAAAAUACAAAAUUGGAGAAACCAUAUAUUAUUUGUUGACAAAGAAAGAAAAACAGCUUUACGUAUACCGCUGAUAAAGCACUCCUCAAACAAGUAGUCACGGAGGGAUUGCAAGAAGAUUAUGAGCUUACUAAAGAAUAUAAAAAGUAUAAGGAAAAGCAUAAAGAUGAAAACAACAAAUCAAGCCCAUCAGCUAAAAAUCAAGAAAACUCUGCUGAGGAUAUGCCUUACUAUAUGCGGCAGCUUCUUUCCUCAUCCUUCUCUAUGUCCAAAUUCGGGACCCCAUCUCCAGCAGAUAAAAACAC